UACAUGUGAAGCAAGCGUUGUUCGGAAUUACUGGGCAUAAAGGGUGCGUAGGCGGCUUUGUAAGUCAGUGGUGAAAUAUGGCAGCUCAACUGUCAAGGUGCCAUUGAUACUGCGGAGCUUGAGUACAAAAUGAGGUAGGCGGAAUUGACGGUGUAGCGGUGAAAUGCUUAGAUAUCGUCAAGAACACCGAUAGCGAAGGCAGCUUACUAGGCUGUAACUGACGCUGAGGCACGAAAGUGUGGGGGAUCAAACAGG
rnacentral:rRNA from 1 species